CCUACGGGGGGCAGCAGUGGGGAAUAUUGCACAAUGGGGGAAACCCUGAUGCAGCAACGCCGCGUGAGCGAUGAAGGCCCUUGGGUCGUAAAGCUCUGUCCUUGGGGAAGAAAAAAAUGACGGUACCCAUGGAGGAAGCCCCGGCUAACUACGUGCCAGCAGCCGCGGUAAUACGUAGGGGGCAAGCGUUAUCCGGAAUUAUUGGGCGUAAAGAGUACGUAGGUGGUUUUUUAAGCGCAGGGUCUAAGGCGACGGCUCAACUGUCGUUCGCCCUGUGAACUGGAAGACUUGAGUACAGGAGAGGAAAGCGGAAUUCCUAGUGUAGCGGUGAAAUGCGUAGAUAUUAGGAGGAACACCAGUGGCGAAGGCGGCUUUCUGGACUGUAACUGACACUGAGGUACGAAAGCGUGGGGAGCAAACAGGAUUAGAUACCCUUGUAGUC
rnacentral:rRNA from 1 species